CUCACUUGUGCACAUGCAUUGAAAUUCUUAAAUACAGCCGGGUGCAGUGGCCCAUGCAUGUAAUCCCCACUUUGGGAGGCCAAGGCGGAUGGAUCACCUGAGGUCAGGAGUUCAAAACCAGCCUGGCCAACAUGCCAAAACCCCGUCUCUACUAAAAAUACAAAAAUUAGCCGGGCUUGGUGGUAGGCACCUGUAAUCCCAGCUACUCAGGGAGGCUGAGGCACGAGAAUUGCUUGAAC
rnacentral:lncRNA from 1 species